UUUCUCAUUCCAAACCAAUCUCAUGCACAAUUCUGGUGAUUAUCGAGCAAACCAUUUUUUUGUUUUGUUUUUUUAAUGAAAAAUGUGCCAUUUUUUUGUUCUUACCCUAACAAAUUCAACCUGUUCAGAAUUAGAUUUUUCUUCCCAAAAUAUGUGCUGUUGGAACUGAAUGCUACAAUGUAUCAUCUGCUUAGAAAUUUGAUUCAAAAGACAUUUUGGGAGGGUGUCGAAAUUGGCAAAUAACGGUCAACAUAAAUGCAUGCAUUCCCUAAAGGGGACAAGCUCGAUUUAUGGAAGGGAGUUUCCAGUUGCUUUCUGCAAUUUUCCAUUUUUGUUAUUUUUGGUAAGGUUUGCUGUUUUUUUGUAGCUUGAAUAUAUUAGUCAAUCUGAAAUGAUAAUUUUAUGGCAGAAAAGCGUUAUAUAAAAUAACAUCCAUAUUUUAGGCAGCACGAUGAUCUUUUUAUUUUGGCUUUCAGUAUAAAGUGUGCAAAAUUCUAAUAAUAAUAAUAAAUAUAUAUACAUACUCAUUUGUUAAAGGACCACUAUAGGCACCCAGAACACUUCAGCUUAAUGAAGUGGUCUGGGUGCCUGGGCCAGCUAGGGUUAACCCUUUCUUUUAUAAACAUAGCAGUUUCAGAGAAACUGCUAUGUUUACACUGAGGGUUAAUCCAGCCUCUAAAGCCUCUAGUGACUGUCUCAUUGACAGCCGCUAGAGGCACUUGCGUGCUUCUCACUGUGAAAAUCACAGUGAGAAGACACCAGCAUCCAUAGGAAAGCAUUGUAAAAGCACGUAAAUGCUUUCCUAUGAACUGGCUGAAUGCGCGCGCGGCUCCUGCCGCGCAUGCGCAUUCAGCCGAUGACGUCGCUAGGAAGGAGGAGAGGAGGAGGAAAGCUCCCCGCCCGGCGCUGGAGAAAGGUAAGAUUUUAACCCCUUCCUUUCUCCAGAACCCGGCAGGAGGGGGUCCCUGAGGGUGGGGGCACCCUCAGGGCACUAUAGUGCCAGGAAAACGAGUAUGUUUUCCUGGCACUAUAGUGGUCCUUUAACCCCUUAAGGACACAUGACAUGUGUGACAUGUCAUGAUUCACUUUUAUUCCAGAAGUUUGGUCCUUAAGGGGUUAAAUAGAUUUUAUUCUGCCUCUGUUAAAAGAUGAGUUUGGCACGUGAAAAAAAACAAAAAACAAAAAAACUCUGUCCCCUUUUUAUGUGACACGUGAACUAUAUUGAGAAUUCAAAGUGAAUUUCAAAAUGAAGGUCAAAUUGGCCAAAAUGAAAGUCAACAAUGCUUCUACUUUGGCUACUCUGGCCUUAAAUUCAAAAUUCACUUUCUCUCUUUAGUGAAUAACCCUGUAGGUUAGUAUUGACUGUGUUGUAAUAACCCAAGCACAUUAAUUAUGCUACUUGUUAUGACGUCUAUUUGAGAUGUAUGAGACUCUAAAUUUCGUUUUUCUGAGAUAUGUUUUCUUAUUUUGUCAAACACAGAAGGAUGAAAGCUUGACUUGAAACAGCCAUGAAUUAAGCCUGCAACCAUGAGGGGCACUAACUCACCAAGUUCUGUUAUGGAAAUAAAUACACGAAACACUGACCAUGAUAAGCUCAAGACGUCAGAACAUUUCUAACACCUCCCAGCAGUCUAUACCAGGGUUGCUGACAUGUAGGAUUGCCCAAAAUCCCAACAGACAUGUAGUUUGGAGGAAUGGACUUAAUUAAAACAAUGAUCUACCAUGAACAAGCCUUGAAGAAGUCAGACAGCCUCAGGUUCUAGAUAGUCUCUGGAACAAAGUCACACCUAGCUGGACAACACUGGAAUAGUAUACUGUCAAUGAGUCUCUGCAGUGGAAAGAAUAAAAUAUUACUUUCAUGAAAUACCUGUU